rnacentral:sRNA from 1 species
CUGUGGAGUGUACAAGAACUUGUAAGUAGUAUGUCAUUUAUGAUUACGAAAGCAUACACGAUGAAACAGUAA